UCGUGGAUACCGGGAGACGCUGGCGCUUUCCCAGGGCCGAAGGAGCAGCCGCCCCGGCAAACUCUCAGGCAAAAGGACCGGGUCCGCAUC
rnacentral:ncRNA from 2 species